rnacentral:rRNA from 1 species
GACGAACCGUGCGAACGUUAUUCGGAAUCAUUGGGCUUAAAGGGCGCGUAGGCGGCGGCGUAAGUUGGAAGUGAAAUCCCAUCGGCUCAACCGUGGAAUUGCUCCCAGUACUGCGUCGCUCGAGGGGGAUAGGGGUCUGCGGAACUACCGGUGGAGCGGUGAAAUGUGUUGAUAUCUGGAGGAACACCGGUGGCGAAGGCGGCAUCCUGGACCGGCAUUGACGCUGAGGCGCGAAAGCCAGGGGAGCAAACGGG